rnacentral:lncRNA from 1 species
AAGGUCCCCAGAUCGAAACUGGGUGGCGUCAAAACAGGCACUCACUGGACGACUCACUGGAUGACUCUUGCUAGAGAAACGGGCGCUGCAUCUGGCGAGGUGCAUGUCAGUGGGACAGCCGCAUUUUGUACCUGGAAGUGACAAAUUCAGUGCCAAGCACAUCGACUUGUUGUGCGCGCGGGGGUUAGGAUCCAAACAGAAUGGUUACUGAACGUCAUUCAGGCCAUUUGUAGUCAAGACUGUAUCUUGGAGCCUGUUAGUACACUUGAAUAAUCCUACUACCAGCCUCCUCCACAAGGCGAGUCAUCAGGCAAAGCUGCUGGGUUCGCACCUUCUGGGGACACUCCUUCACUGCUUGAUCAGGCUCCCGGGGCUGGAUGGGGUUCCUGGCCUCGCCGGCCGGCAUCCUUGGUCCGGGGGGAAGAAUGGCUGCUCUCUUGCAGAUGGCAGGGUGUUUCGAUGUGUUUGAUAAUGACCAUGUCUGGAGAGCGGUCCCGAGGCUUCGGUGGUGCUGUCCGUGGAUCCCUAGCUGACAUGUUCUGCGCGUUGGCCUGCUGCAGAGCGGCCUGGUCUACGUUGCCGCUCAGAAGCUCCUCAGCGGCUUCAAGAUCGUGUUGAGUGGCUGGCGGCCACUGACCCGAUCCCCCGUCGCCGGCCGGCUGCGUUGAUGGCUCCUGUGUUGACCAAAUAUAGUCUCCCGUUGUCUUUUCAUUCUUACCCUCAUGGUUCGUUUAUGCUGGGACUGCUCGUGGUUUAUCCUUGGAGAGCGACGGUCCCUCGUGGAUGGCGUCGAUGAUCCUUGAAAGUAGUCGGUGAGGUCUUGGAAUGAUCAUUAGUUAGGGUCGUUCCCUCCCUCCCACCCUCAGUGUCCCUCGUUUACAAGUUGCAGGCUCGGCCCAGUUUGAGACCUGAUGAUUGGGGAGCUCACUCGGAUCGGCAGACACAGCACCUGUGUGUGUCCUUUAUGUGGUGUACGAUGCGUACCGUUAUGUAUUGUUUGUAUAGUUGUCGGCCGUACAUCAACAAGUACGACACCAUGGUGUAGUGGAAUCACAUCUGUCUAACACACAGAAGGACCCCAGAUUGAAACUGGGUGGCGUCAAAACAGGCACUCACUGGACGACUCACUAGAUGACACUUGCUAGAGAAACGGGCGCUGCAUCUGGCGAGGUGCAUGUCAGUGGGACAGCCGCAUUUUGUACCUGGAAGUGACAAAUUCAGUGCCAAGCACAUCGACUUGUUGUGCGCGCGGGGGUUAGGAUCCAAACAGAAUGGUUACUGAACGUCAUUCAGGCCAUUUGUAGUCAAGACUGUAUCUUGGAGCCUGUUAGUACACUUGAAUAAUCCUACUACCAGCCUCCUCCACAAGGCGAGUCAUCAGGCAAAGCUGCUGGGUUCGCACCUUCUGGGGACACUCCUUCACUGCUUGAUCAGGCUCCCGGGGCUGGAUGGGGUUCCUGGCCUCGCCGGCCGGCAUCCUUGGUCCGGGGGGAAGAAUGGCUGCUCUCUUGCAGAUGGCAGGGUGUUUCGAUGUGUUUGAUGAUGACCAUGUCUGGAGAGCGGUCCCGAGGCUUCGGUGGUGCUGUCCGUGGAUCCCUAGCUGACAUGUUCGGCGCGUUGGCCUGCUGCAGAGCGGCCUGGUCUACGUUGCCGCUCAAAAGCUCCUCAGCGGCUUCAAGAUCGUGUUGAGUGGCUGGCGGCCACUGACCCGAUCCCCCGUCGCCGGCCGGCUGCGUUGAUGGCUCCUGUGUUGACCAAAUAUAGUCUCCCGUUGUCUUUUCGUUCUUACCCUCAUGGUUCGUUUAUGCUGGGACUGCUCGUGGUUUAUCCUUGGAGAGCGGCGGUCCCUUGUGGAUGGCGUCGAUGAUCCUUGAAAGUAGUCGGUGAGGUCUUGGAAUGAUCAUUAGUUAGGGUCGUUCCCUCCCUCCCACCCUCAGUGUCCCUCGUUUACAAGUUGCAGGCUCGGCCCAGUUUGAGACCUGAUGAUUGGGGAGCUCACUCGGAUCGGCAGACACAGCACCUGUGUGUGUCCUUUAUGUGGUGUACGAUGCGUACCGUUAUGUAUUGUACGUAUAGUUGUCGGCCGUACAUCAACAAGUACGACACCAUGGUGUAGUGGAAUCACAUCUGUCUAACACACAGAAGGUCCCCAGAUUGAAACUGGGUGGCGUCAAAACAGGCACUCACUGGACGACUCACUGGAUGACACUUGCUAGAGAAACGGGCGCUGCAUCUGGCGAGGUGCAUGUCAGUGGGACAGCCGCAUUUUGUACCUGGAAGUGACAAAUUCAGUGCCAAGCACAUCGACUUGUUGUGCGCGCGGGGGUUAGGAUCCAAACAGAAUGGUUACUGAACGUCAUUCAGGCCAUUUGUAGUCAAGACUGUAUCUUGGAGCCUGUUAGUACACUUGAAUAAUCCUACUACCAGCCUCCUCCACAAGGCGAGUCAUCAGGCAAAGCUGCUGGGUUCGCACCUUCUGGGGACACUCCUUCACUGCUUGAUCAGGCUCCCGGGGCUGGAUGGGGUUCCUGGCCUCGCCGGCCGGCAUCCUUGGUCCGGGGGGAAGAAUGGCUGCUCUCUUGCAGAUGGCAGGGUGUUUCGAUGUGUUUGAUGAUGACCAUGUCUGGAGAGCGGUCCCGAGGCUUCGGUGGUGCUGUCCGUGGAUCCCUAGCUGACAUGUUCGGCGCGUUGGCCUGCUGCAGAGCGGCCUGGUCUACGUUGCCGCUCAAAAGCUCCUCAGCGGCUUCAAGAUCGUGUUGAGUGGCUGGCGGCCACUGACCCGAUCCCCCGUCGCCGGCCGGCUGCGUUGAUGGCUCCUGUGUUGACCAAAUAUAGUCUCCCGUUGUCUUUUCGUUCUUACCCUCAUGGUUCGUUUAUGCUGGGACUGCUCGUGGUUUAUCCUUGGAGAGCGGCGGUCCCUCGUGGAUGGCGUCGAUGAUCCUUGAAAGUAGUCGGUGAGGUCUUGGAAUGACCAUUAGUUAGGGUCGUUCCCUCCCUCCCACCCUCAGUGUCCCUCGUUUACAAGUUGCAGGCUCGGCCCAGUUUGAGACCUGAUGAUUGGGGAGCUCACUCGGAUCGGCAGACACAGCACCUGUGUGUGUCCUUUAUGUGGUGUACGAUGCGUACCGUUAUGUAUUGUACGUAUAGUUGUCGGCCGUACAUCAACAAGUACGACACCAUGGUGUAGUGGAAUCACAUCUGUCUAACACACAGAAGGACCCCAGAUCGAAACUGGGUGGCGUCAAAACAGGCACUCACUGGACGACUUACUGGAUGACACUUGCUAGAGAAACGGGCGCUGCAUCUGGCGAGGUGCAUGUCAGUGGGACAGCCGCAUUUUGUACCUGGAAGUGACAAAUUGUCGUGCGCGCGGGGGUUAGGAUCCAAACAGAAUGGUUACUGAACGUCAUUCAGGCCAUUUGUAGUCAAGACUGUAUCUUGGAGCCUGUUAGUACACUUGAAUAAUCCUACUACCAGCCUCCUCCACAAGGCGAGUCAUCAGGCAAAGCUGCUGGGUUCGCACCUUC